AGACAGGUGGUGCAUGGUUGUCGUCAGCUCGUGUCGUGAGAUGUUGGGUUAAGUCCCGCAACGAGCGCAACCCUUACUGUUAGUUGCUACGCAAGAGCACUCUAGCAGGACUGCCGUUGACAAAACGGAGGAAGGUGGGGACGACGUCAAAUCAUCAUGCCCCUUAUGACCUGGGCUUCACACGUACUACAAUGGCCAUUAACAGAGGGAAGCAAUACCGCGAGGUGGAGCAAAACCCUAAAAAUGGUCUCAGUUCGGAUUGCAGGCUGCAACUCGCCUGCAUGAAGUUGGAAUUGCUAGUAAUCGCGGAUCAGCAUGCCGCGGUGAAUACGUUCCCGGGCCUUGUACACACCGCCCGUCACACCAUGGGAGCCGGUAAUACCCGAAGUCAGUAGCCUAACCGCAAGGAGGGCGCUGCCGAAGGUAGGAUUGGCGACUGGGGUGAAGUCGUAACAAGGUAGCCGUAUCGGAAGGUGCGGCUGGAUCACCUC
rnacentral:rRNA from 1 species